rnacentral:rRNA from 1 species
UACGGAGGGUGCAAGCGUUAUCCGGAUUCACUGGGUUUAAAGGGCUCGUAGGUGGCCAACUAAGUCAGACGUGAAAUCCCUCGGCUUAACCGGGGAACUGCGUCUGAUACUGGAUGGCUUGAGUUUGGGAGAGGGACGCUGAAUUCCAGGUGUAGCGGUGAAAUGCGUAGAUAUCUGGAGGAACACCGGUGGCGAAGGCGGCGUCCUGGACCAACACUGACACUGAGGAGCGAAAGCCAGGGGAGCAAACAGG